CUGGAGUUCUUAAUGCUACAUCAUCAGUGAAAGAAACUCUACAAGCAGCUGGAAUAAAGGUCAAGGUUGAUAACUCUUAUCAGAGAACACCUGGAUGGAAAUAUAACUUUUAGGAGAUGGAAGGGAGUACCUCUAAGGAUUGAGAUUGGACCUCGUGAUGUGUCUACUGGGAUUGAAGUCAUUUCCAGAAGAGAUAUUCCUG